CAAAUACUCCCUCCGUCCGGAAAUACUUGUCAUCAAAAUGGAUAAAAAGAAAUGUAUCUAGACGUAUUUUAGUUUUAGAUACAUCUCUUUUUAUCCAUUUUGAUGACAAGUAUUUUCGGACGAAGGGAGUAGAGA
rnacentral:pre_miRNA from 1 species